ensembl:lncRNA novel transcript
AGAGCGCGUCGCUGCAGGUGCACCAGCCUCGGUCAGGAUCCAGGACAAUGAACCGCGUCCUCAGGCCAAAGGAGCGACUCCGUUUCCAGUUUCGGAAGGGGUUUCUCCAGAAUACCAAACACCAGUCGGUGCCUUUCUCCUAAAACCAGCACCUCGGGGUGGGGAGCGCGUUCAGAAGUUCACGGUUGACUCAAUUACUGGGUUAAUUUGAUGUAUGCUAACUUCUAUAGCCCCGAGUACUCGAUGUGCCUGUUUUCAAUGGCCAUUUAAAAAACAGCUGGACCUCUGUAUCAAUCUAGAGUUAGUCAUCCUUCUUGGAAGGGAGCAGAGGGGCCUCUUAAAUGUUAUUGGAAGACUCAUCACUGCAUAGAACCGCGUGGCCCUACAAUAUUUAAUUAGGCAAAGACUAAACUGGAAUUCAUCUAGGCCUCCCCCAACAGCCCAGGCACAGAUUCCGGGAACCCCCGCGGACGCCCGCCGGGCCCCUGCUCGCGCCCCCAGCCCAGGGAUCCUGGCCCCUCGGAGCGGCGGGGGGGCAGGCCCGGAGCCACAGCCUCACCUCCGGUACUCCAGGUACUCGUCCACCGCCGCCGCGCCGCCGAGAGGCAACGUCAACCGCUCCAUUGCCGGUGGGGAAGCCAAAGGCUUCCCUGCGGACCAGCUGACCUCGAAGCCCGACCCGCCCCGUUCCCUCCCGGUACCGCGCCCCCUCCCGCCCGCCUCCUGAUUGGCCCGGCCUGAAGCCCGAGGAGGCCGCGCGCGGCAACUGCGCAGGACGCGCGCCCCUACUGGCUGCCGGCGCCAGGCACCAGAACCCGGAUCUCCGCAAGCGCAGCCUCGCGCCACAUGGAGUGCAGUUUGCCGCCCUCCACAAACCUUGCACCUAUUCCCCUCUCCCUUCCCUGGACCGGCGAGUCUUCUUGUAAAUUAACAAGUGACAAGGGAGUGCAGUGCCUUGCAUAUAACAGGCGCAUAGAAAAUGGCUUAUUUCUUUGUACAGCUCUUUUCGCUUAAUCCAUCUCUUGAAAUAUAAGUAGUUUUGAGAAGGUUCUGCUUUAGUUUGAGGCCUGCCUCUCCUUAACUGUCGGCCUGUUUCCAGUAUUGGCGUUUUCAAAAACUCUGAUGUAACAAUCAGUAGUCCUGGGUAUCUGGGUUCACUUUGGGGGUUGCUAAAGCUACAUGUUCUUCAAAGGAACCGAAUAACUGAUUUAAGGUGAAGCAAGUAAAAACAAUUUAGGUGAA